CUUAUUUUGUGUGAAAAGCACCUGAACAGUAAAUCUCACUUCAGUUUUUUCAUUCAGCUUUUCUCUUUGUCUUUUUUUUGCCCCAGCAUCUCUUGAAACAG